GGGAUUGCCCCAGUAACGGCGAGUGAAGCGGCAACAGCUCAAAUUUGAAAUCUGGCCCCUAGGGUCCGAGUUGUAAUUUGUAGAGGAUGCUUUUGGUGAGGUGCCGCCCGAGUUCCCUGGAACGGGACGCCGCAGAGGGUGAGAGCCCCGUCUGGCUGGCCACCGAGCCUCUGUAAAGCUCCUUCGACGAGUCGAGUAGUUUGGGAAUGCUGCUCAAAAUGGGAGGUAUAUGUCUUCUAAAGCUAAAUAUUGGCCAGAGACCGAUAGCGCACAAGUAGAGUGAUCGAAAGAUGAAAAGCACCUUGAAAAGAGGGUUAAACAGUACGUGAAAUUGUUGAAAGGGAAGCGCUUGUGACCAGACUUGGGCGCGGCGGAUCAUCCGGGGUUCUCCCCGGUGCACUUCGCCGUGUUCAGGCCAGCAUCAGUUCGGCGCGGGGGAAAAAGGCUUCGGGAACGUGGCUCCUCCGGGAGUGUUAUAGCCCGUUGCAUAAUACCCUGCGCUGGACUGAGGACCGCGCAUCUGCAAGGAUGCUGGCGUAAUGGUCACCAGCGACCCGUCUUGAAACACC
rnacentral:rRNA from 1 species